rnacentral:rRNA from 1 species
AAUGAACGCUGGCGGCAUGCUUUACACAUGCAAGUCGAACGGUAACAGGGAGCUUGCUCCGCUGACGAGUGGCGAACGGGUGAGUAAUAUAUCGGAACGUACCCAAGAGUGGGGGAUAACGUAGCGAAAGUUACGCUAAUACCGCAUACGAUCUAUGGAUGAAAGCAGGGGACCUUCGGGCCUUGUGCUCCUGGAGCGGCCGAUAUCUGAUUAGCUAGUUGGUGAGGUAAAGGCUCACCAAGGCGACGAUCAGUAGCUGGUCUGAGAGGACGACCAGCCACACUGGAACUGGGACACGGUCCAGACGCCUACGGGAGGCAGCAGUGGGGAAUUUUGGACAAUGGGCGCAAGCCUGAUCCAGCAAUGCCGCGUGAGUGAAGAAGGCCUUCGGGUUGUAAAGCUCCUUUGUCAGGGAAGAAACGGCUGUGGCUAAUAUCCACGGCUAAUGACGGUACCUGAAGAAUAAGCACCGGCUAACUACGUGCCAGCAGCCGCGGUAA